CUGGCGGCCGCGUGCGCAGGCGUACUUCCUGGCUUGGGAACCACAUCGCCCGACCGUGCUCUUUAUUUUUCGGUGGAGCAGCUCUGCUUUCUCAGGUCUCUACUUACUUAUAUAAGAUGGCAUCAAGAAGAAGGACCUGACCACUGGCCCCUGACUACAUGGUCUUUGGAACCCGUGGCAUUGGAAGAUGUCAGAGACAUGGCACAUGGAUGUGAUCUUCAAAAACUGUUACAGCCUCAUCUCAUUGGAUUGGUCUACACAUCAAGGUGCUGGAAGUGUCGCAUGCCCAGAGAUGAUGUGGAAGCUCUAUACCCCUUUCCCUUCUGCCCACCUUGCCCUGUGCAUCUCUUCCUGAAUGGCUUCUCCUGAAUUGUAUCCUUUAUAAUAAACUGGUAAAUGUAAGUAAA
rnacentral:lncRNA from 1 species